AUUGAACGCUGGCGGCAGGCCUAACACAUGCAAGUCGAACGGUAGCACAGAGGAGCUUGCUCCUUGGGUGACGAGUGGCGGACGGGUGAGUAAUGUCUGGAAACUGCCCGAUGGAGGGGGAUAACUACUGGAAACGGUAGCUAAUACCGCAUAACGUCUUCGGACCAAAGUGGGGGACCUUCGGGCCUCACACCAUCGGAUGUGCCCAGAUGGGAUUAGCUAGUAGGUGGGGUAAUGGCUCACCUAGGCGACGAUCCCUAGCUGGUCUGAGAGGAUGACCAGCCACACGGGAACUGAGACACGGUCCAGACUCCUACGGGAGGCAGCAGUGGGGAAUAUUGCACAAUGGGCGCAAGCCUGAUGCAGCCAUGCCGCGUGUAUGAAGAAGGCCUUCGGGUUGUAAAGUACUUUCAGCGGGGAGGAAGGCGUUAAGGUUAAUAACCUUGGCGAUUGACGUUACCCGCAGAAGAAGCACCGGCUAACUCCGUGCCAGCAGCCGCCGUAA
rnacentral:rRNA from 1 species